AUUGAACGCUGGCGGCAGGCCUAAAACAUGCAAGUCGAGCGAGCGGCGGACGGGUGAGUAAUGUCUGGGAAACUGCCUGAUGGAGGGGGAUAACUACUGGAAACGGUAGCUAAUACCGCAUACCAUCCGAUGUUACCAGAUGGGAUUAGCUAUUAGGUGGGGUAACGGCUCACCUAGGAGAAGAUCCCUAGCUGGUCUGAGAGGCUGACCAGCCACACUGGAACUGAGACACGGUCCAGACUCCUAUGGGAGGCAGCAGUGGGGAAUAUUGCACAACUGGCGCAAGCCUGAUGCAGCCAUGCCGCGUGUAUGAAGAAGGCCUUCGGGUUGUAAAGUACUUUCAGCGGGGAGGCGUUACCCGCAGAAGAAGCACCGGCUAACUCCGUGCCAGCAGCCGCGGUAAUUC
rnacentral:rRNA from 1 species